UACGUAGGCGGCUUGCCAAGUUGGGUGUGAAAGCCCGGGGCUCAACCCCGGAACUGCAUUCAAAACUGGUUGGCUAGAGAUCGGAAGAGGUAAGUGGAAUUCCCAGUGUAGAGGUGAAAUUCGUAGAUAUUGGGAAGAACACCGGUGGCGAAGGCGACUUACUGGUCCGAUACUGACGCUGAGGUACGAAAGCGUGGGGAGCAAACA
rnacentral:rRNA from 1 species